UUUGUUUUUUUGCAUUUGGGCGGCUCAGCCCCUCCCUCCUUCAGCAGGUGGAAAGGGCCCCAUGUGGACUGUGAGCUGCACAAGAGGGACGCGUUCCUUCCU